GACGAACGCUGGCGGCGUGCUUAACACAUGCAAGUCGAACGGAAAGGCCCUGCUUUUGUGGGGUGCUCGAGUGGCGAACGGGUGUGUGACACGUGAGUAACCUGCCCUUGACUUUGGGAUAACUCCAGGAAACUGGGGCUAAUACCGGAUAGGAGCUCCUGCUGCAUGGUGGGGGUUGGAAAGUUUCGGCGGUUGGGGCUGGACUCGCGGCUUAUCCGCUUGUUGGUGGGGUAGUGGCUUACCAAGGCUUUGACGGGUAGCCGGCCUGAGAGGGUGACCGGCCACAUUGGGACUGAGAUACGGACCAGACUCCUACGGGAGGCAGCAGUGGGGAAUAUUGCACAAUGGGCGGAAGCCUGAUGCAGCAGCGCCGCGUGCGUGAUGACGGCCUUCGGGUUGUAAACCGCUUUCGCCUGUGACGAAGCGUGAGUGACGGUAAUGGGUAAAGAAGCACCGGCUAACUACGUG
rnacentral:rRNA from 1 species